rnacentral:tRNA from 1 species
GCGAGAGUGGCGGAAUUGGUAGACGCGCUAGCUUCAGGUGUUAGUGUUCUUACGGACGUGGGGGUUCAACUCCCCCCUUUCGCACCA